GAUACCCUAUUAUUUUAAAUGUAAACUUUUAAGCCGAAAUUAUUAUGAGCUAUGUUCUUUAAAAUUAAAUAUUUUGGCGGUAUUUUAGUCUUUUCAGAGGAACCUGUUUCGUAAUCGAUAAUCCACGAGGUAAUUUACUUUACUUUUAAGUUUGUAUAUCGUUGUAUUUAAAAUAUUUUUUUAGGAUUAAAAUUUUUGUAAUUCUUGAUUAAGGGAUAGUUCAGAUCAAGGUGCAGCGAAUAGUAAAGGAGGGAUGGGUUACAUUGUUUUUAUGCUUGGAUUUCAUUUUUUAAAUGUGAUUAUAUUGGAUUUGAAAGUAAAUUAAAUAAUUUUUUUUAUUGACUAAGCUCUAAAAUAUGCACACAUCGCC
rnacentral:rRNA from 1 species